UUAAGCGACUAAGCGUACACGGUGGAUGCCCUGGCAGUCAGAGGCGAUGAAGGACGUGCUAAUCUGCGAAAAGCGUCGGUAAGGUGAUAUGAACCGUUAUAACCGGCGAUGUCCGAAUGGGGAAACCCAGUGCAAUUCGUUGCACUAUCGUUAACUGAAUACAUAGGUUAACGAGGCGAACCGGGGGAACUGAAACAUCUAAGUACCCCGAGGAAAAGAAAUCAACCGAGAUUCCCCCAGUAGCGGCGAGCGAACGGGGAGCAGCCCAGAGUCUGAAUCAGCUUGUGUGUUAGUGGAACGGUCUGGAAAGUCCGACGGUACAGGGUGAUAGUCCCGUACACCAAAAUGCACAGGUUGUGAACUCGAAGAGUAGGGCGGGACACGUGGUAUCCUGUCUGAAUAUGGGGGGACCAUCCUCCAAGGCUAAAUACUCCUGACUGACCGAUAGUGAACCAGUACCGUGAGGGAAAGGCGAAAAGAACCCCGGCGAGGGGAGUGAAAAAGAACCUGAAACCGUGUACGUACAAGCAGUGGGAGCACCUUCGGGUGUGACUGCGUACCUUUUGUAUAAUGGGUCAGCGACUUAUAUUCUGUAGCAAGGUUAACCGUAUAGGGGAGCCGCAGGGAAACCGAGUCUUAACUGGGCGUUAAGUUGCAGGGUAUAGACCCGAAACCCGGUGAUCUAGCCAUGGGCAGGUUGAAGGUUGGGUAACACUAACUGGAGGACCGAACCGACUAAUGUUGAAAAAUUAGCGGAUGACUUGUGGCUGGGGGUGAAAGGCCAAUCAAACCGGGAGAUAGCUGGUUCUCCCCGAAAGCUAUUUAGGUAGCGCCUCGUGAAYUCAUCUUCGGGGGUAGAGCACUGUUUCGGCUAGGGGGUCAUCCCGACUUACCAACCCGAUGCAAACUACGAAUACCGAAGAAUGUUAUCACGGGAGACACACGGCGGGUGCUAACGUCCGUCGUGAAGAGGGAAACAACCCAGACCGCCAGCUAAGGUCCCAAAGUCAUGGUUAAGUGGGAAACGAUGUGGGAAGGCACAGACAGCCAGGAUGUUGGCUUAGAAGCAGCCAUCAUUUAAAGAAAGCGUAAUAGCUCACUGGUCGAGUCGGCCUGCGCGGAAGAUGUAACGGGGCUAAACCAUGCACCGAAGCUGCGGCAGCGACACUAUGUGUUGUUGGGUAGGGGAGCGUUCUGUAAGCCUGCGAAGGUGUSCUGUGAGGSWUGCUGGAGGUAUCAGAAGUGCGAAUGCUGACAUAAGUAACGAUAAAGCGGGUGAAAAGCCCGCUCGCCGGAAGACCAAGGGUUCCUGUCCAACGUUAAUCGGGGCAGGGUGAGUCGACCCCUAAGGCGAGGCCGAAAGGCGUAGUCGAUGGGAAACAGGUUAAUAUUCCUGUACUUGGUGUUACUGCGAAGGGGGGACGGAGAAGGCUAUGUUAGCCGGGCGACGGUUGUCCCGGUUUAAGCAUGUAGGCUGRUUGUCCAGGCAAAUCCGGAUAAUCAAGGCUGAGGUGUGAUGACGAGGCACUACGGUGCUGAAGUAACAAAUGCCCUGCUUCCAGGAAAAGCCUCUAAGCAUCAGGUAACAUCAAAUCGUACCCCAAACCGACACAGGUGGUCAGGUAGAGAAUACCAAGGCGCUUGAGAGAACUCGGGUGAAGGAACUAGGCAAAAUGGUGCCGUAACUUCGGGAGAAGGCACGCUGGUGUGUAGGUGAAGCCCCUGCGGGUGGAGCUGAGACCAGUCGAAGAUACCAGCUGGCUGCAACUGUUUAUUAAAAACACAGCACUGUGCAAACACGAAAGUGGACGUAUACGGUGUGACGCCUGCCCGGUGCCGGAAGGUUAAUUGAUGGGGUUAUCCGUAAGGAGAAGCUCUUGAUCGAAGCCCCGGUAAACGGCGGCCGUAACUAUAACGGUCCUAAGGUAGCGAAAUUCCUUGUCGGGUAAGUUCCGACCUGCACGAAUGGCGUAAUGAUGGCCAGGCUGUCUCCACCCGAGACUCAGUGAAAUUGAACUCGCUGUGAAGAUGCAGUGUACCCGCGGCAAGACGGAAAGACCCCGUGAACCUUUACUAUAGCUUGACACUGAACAUUGAGCCUUGAUGUGUAGGAUAGGUGGGAGGCUUUGAAGCGUGGACGCCAGUCUGCGUGGAGCCAACCUUGAAAUACCACCCUUUAAUGUUUGAUGUUCUAACGUUGGCCCCUKAYCGGGGUUGCGGACAGUGUCUGGUGGGUAGUUUGACUGGGGCGGUCUCCUCCCAAAGCGUAACGGAGGAGCACGAAGGUUAGCUAAUCCUGGUCGGACAUCAGGAGGUUAGUGCAAUGGCAUAAGCUAGCUUGACUGCGAGCGUGACGGCGCGAGCAGGUGCGAAAGCAGGUCAUAGUGAUCCGGUGGUUCUGAAUGGAAGGGCCAUCGCUCAACGGAUAAAAGGUACUCCGGGGAUAACAGGCUGAUACCGCCCAAGAGUUCAUAUCGACGGCGGUGUUUGGCACCUCGAUGUCGGCUCAUCACAUCCUGGGGCUGAAGUAGGUCCCAAGGGUAUGGCUGUUCGCCAUUUAAAGUGGUACGCGAGCUGGGUUUAGAACGUCGUGAGACAGUUCGGUCCCUAUCUGCCGUGGGCGCUGGAGAAUUGAGGGGGGCUGCUCCUAGUACGAGAGGACCGGAGUGGACGCAUCACUGGUGUUCGGGUUGUCAUGCCAAUGGCACUGCCCGGUAGCUAAAUGCGGAAGAGAUAAGUGCUGAAAGCAUCUAAGCACGAAACUUGCCCCGAGAUGAGUUCUCCCUGAGACUUUAAG
rnacentral:rRNA from 1 species